GGGCAGUCUACGGGUUCUGCAGACACAUCGUAGGCCAAAGAUAAACUAGGCAUUGUUGGUUUAUUUCUCAGCCAUAGCACUUCUUAUUGGGCAUUUACAUAACAAGAAACUGUGAAGAGAAAGUGCCAAAAUGUUCAAGUAGCAAAAAUAUGAACUAAAAGUGCUACAUUAUUCGUGCCCAAACUUUUCAGUUGCCUCGAUCAACAUGUACGUGGAAAGACAUCGGUGAUGUGAAUUCUUUUUAGGUUGAGGGAGAAGGGCUAUUUAUACCUAAAAUGUAAAUGUAUCAUUAUCCUUCAAUGCAUAUUUUCCAGUUUUGCACACGGGGCAUAAGAACUGAUAGAGUACAAGUCGAGAAAAUACUAAGAAAAUAUCAAACUGAAUGAUAAACAAAUAUUUUUAUAAUAAUAAAAAUACGCAUAAACUUGUCAGUGAUUUAUAAAAGAAGCAACACAAAAUUUUCAACAAUAAAUAUCAUCAGUAAUUGUCGUCGUGUAGCCUUCUUCCGUCUUCUUUUGUCUUCUGAAUAUACAUGCUUUCUCAACUAAUUCCGUCCCCGAAUGUCGGAAAAUCCCAAAACUAUCAAUGUAAGACUCCUAACAGUACUUUCUCGAAAUUCAUCUAAAUGUUUUAAAGACACAUAAUAAGACAGAAAAUUCUUGCCAAUCUCUUCAGAAAUAUCGCGUAAAGUAGCAGCAGCAGCCAUUAUCGAUCUAAAUGUCGGAGGUUUAGUAUUUUGUGAUACCACGUGACCUGUAGGCGGAGCCUGGCGUCUGGUCAAUUAUAUGCAGAGGAUGAACAUAAAUCAUGUUUCAACAUUUAUUAGAGAACGUCUAACAGUUGAUGCGACGCUAAGAUACUUUGCUAAAUUUCUUAAUAUAGUCUUAUUUGUACUUUCCAAUAGUUCAAUAAACUUGAACAUAGAUGGUCUAUGGUAAUAGUAUUUCUUAAUAUACUUCUUUCUAAGAUCAGCAAAACAAGGAUAGAUACAAAUAAAAUGAAACUCGUCUUCAAUAUCACGAGAAUUACAACAUAAACAAUAUCUUUCAUGUCUUACUAUUCUGUUUCUGCCGAAACGGCCAGUUUGGAUUCUAAGCGAAUGAGACGAUAAUCGAAGCUGCGAUAAAUGUAGUCUAGAGCCGCAAUUUAAUACAUCUAAAUAAUCUUCAUAUUUAAAUUGCUUCUUUAAAUACUUAUAUGUUUCCAGAACAGGACUCCUUUCAACAGACACAUGCCACUGCUGAAUAAAACAAUCAAAAACACGCUGUUUAAACAAAGACUGAAACACCUGAACAUUUAAGUUGUUAUGAUCAUAAAAAACAUACGUGAAACCGUAUUCAUUCAAUAACUUCUUAACUUUCGAUACCCAGUUUAUACGACCCUUUUCACAAUCCUCAACUCCUUGCUUAUACAUUGUUUGUAAUAAAAUGUUAUCUGUCUUUAUUAAUUUGCACCAGUACUUUAUGAUUUUAAAGUGUCUCAACACAUACAUUGGGUACCGUCUAAGUUCACCAUAUACCCCGGCGGUACAAGUAUUUUGUCUAACUUUAAGCAGUCUCUUGCAAAGUUUUAAGUGAACUCUUUCUAUUGGUUUGGAUUUGGAAAAUCCCCAUAUUUCGGCGCCGUAGCAAAGAAUUGAUCCUACAAAAGCAUCAAACAAUUGGCAUAGUAUUUUAGGUUUAAUUCUAAGCUUACUACAGUUGAAUAGCAAAGUAUUUAGAGCUUUUAAAGCUUUACCGAUUAAAUGUUCCUGAUUUAACGAAAAGUUGCCAGUAUGAUUAAUAGGCAAAGCUGUCUGGGAGAAAAGGUCAAACAAAUUCCUUCACAAGAGUAUUUAUUAUAAAAACGAAGAUAAAUACAAGUGUGAUAAAUACUAAAAGUCCUCAACAAAACCCCUAGGCGUUACUUGAAAAAAGACGUAUUUAAUCUGCAAAGUACUGUACACAAUGUUAUGUCUCGAACGUCCUGCCAUACUCCGCAGUAAAGUUCACGGUUAGGAAAUAUAACGCUAUACCGUGUAAAUAAUUUGUCUCGGAAUCGGGCAAUAACUGAAAAAACAAUUUAAAUCAUUGGCUAUCAUCGAACAUUCUGCAUGUGGUAAGUUUGUUUAUGAUAAUAUUUCUUGGGAAAAUCCAUAAAUAUGUCUUCAGUACGGAAAUAAAUGAAAAUCAUGAAAAGUUUAUGCUUGUUGCGGUCUAGCAGACGACGCAAUGUGAAAUGCGGUUUGUGCACCUAAUAAAACAUUAUUUGCGACUGAAAUGGGAAAAGUAUUGAAAUUAUAUAUAUUUGAUAUGCUUACAAAAGUAGCAUGUAGAAAAAAAAAUGAAAAAAAAAAAAAAAAAAAAUAAACGAAAUAUAGGAAGUCCCUCUUUUCGAAUUUUUUAAAACUAUGGAACGCCAUCGCUGACAUAAAUUUUAUAAACUAUAUAAUAUCAAUUUUUAUUUCUUUUUUUAAAUAGUCAUGUACUUGUAACCAGGAUUAAAACAACUUCAAUUCCUUAGUAUAUUUAUGUUCCUGAUGUCACUGAAAAUUUUGUUUACUAGUUGGAUCCUAUAAUAAACUAACAACUUAUUCAUUAUUACAGUUGCUGCACAAGAAUUCCACACCUGUUGUGUAAUAUGAUCUGAAGUUCAAGUAAUGAGUUGCUGCAGAAGAAUUCAACACCAGUUGUGUAUUAUGGUAUUGGUAUUUAGCUGAAGUUAAGAUCAUGAGUAUUACAGUUGCUGCAGAAGAAUUCCACACCUGUUGUAUAUUAUGAUCUGAAGUUCAAGUCAUGAGUUGCUGCAGAAGAAUUCAACACCUGUUGUGUAUAAUGAAAUUGGUAUUCAACUGAAGUUCAGAUCAUGAGUACUUCUGAUGAAAACACUUGCGUUUUAUGUGGCGUUAGAGACGACAACCCCACUUCAGUUCUUGGCGACAGGGGAUGCCAGAGCAUCAUAGCAGCCAGCAAGAAUAAGGGUCGAACGUUGGUCGUCUCACCUCGACAGCAAGUUCACAAGGAUUGCAGGAGGAUUUACUGCCACCCCAAUCAGAAUCGUCUCAAUAGCAGCAGCAAAGAAACUUUAUAUACAAGUCCAAGUACUAGACAGUCAUUAGAAUUACCAUUUGACUUUCAAACGAAGUGUUUUUUCUGUGGAACAAAUGCAACACAUAAACAACAUAAACGUAAACGAGGUAGAGAUGUUCACCCUGUUUUAACAUUAGAGUUUUAAAAGUCUAUUAAAGAUGUUUGUUUAGGAAUGGAAACGCAGUAUACAGAUGAGAAUAACAAUCAUGCUGAAACAGGGAGAAGCAAUGAUGAAGCCUACUCACCUGAACAGAGAAAAUUAGUCACAAUUUUUGAAAGUGUACUCGAGCAGAAAAUUGAUCAACGGCUACUAGUAACUGAAGACAAUGUAGAUCUUAAAGAAAUGGUUGACAAAGUUGAAAGUACUAAGCAUACAUUGAAAAGUUCUAGAACUGCAACAUUAUGGCUACAAUACUUAGAAAUGAUCAACCUACUGAAACAGUUUAUCGCAGCUGAAAGGAUUGGGAAUUGGCGAUGUCACCUCAAGAGUUUGAAAAACAUGCUUCCUUUUUUUGCAGCUGCAGGACAUAAUCUGUACACGAAAUCAGCUACAUGUACCUUCAGCAAAUGAACUGUCUUCAUAUAACACAUCCUGAAGUUUGCCAAGCAUUUGGAAAGGGAUUGCAUGUGGUCCGAAGGUCAAACAGAAUGUGGGGUGGUCUUUCUACCGAUCUGGUUAUUGAACAAGUACUUAUGCGCAGUGUC
rnacentral:lncRNA from 1 species